CUCAGUCACAGGGUCACAGCCGUCACGCUGUCAUCACGGCUUGCGCUCCAGCCCUCGGUCUGGUUCUCAUUCACAUGAACGGAGGAAGGGAAAUAACUCUGGAUUCAGCUAUUAGUUAAUUCUCCAACUUUUAGAGAGAGGGAGUUUAUUUACCUAAAAAAAAAUGUAUCCGCUGAGUUACAGGCGUCUCUUUCCCAAUGUAAGUCUACGGGAAAAAGUAUUUUUGGCCCAAUGGCAUCAUGUGAUGGACACGGAAGUUGUAGUAACGCCGUUUGGCCACUACAGAAGUUGGCAUCAACGACUGGCGCUCUUCAUGCGGGCUUGAUCGAGGCUGAUUUUGUUUGUUUUCUUCCGGAGAAGCAACAUUUUCAAACAUCUACCUUUUAGGGGCUCGAAAACAUCGUUUGUAGUGUGGACUCUAGGUGUUAACGUAGCAAAAGUUAUGGGUUUUAAAAUGAAAACAUAAUAGUGUGGAUGUAGCCUUAGAGCUGUCCACUUGUGAUGCAUGUUAACACCAGGUCUGAAGCAACCCGGCCAACAAAUAGUCCAGUAAAACCUAAACAUGUCUUUUUGUACACACAAGAUGUUAAAUAGUGAGAUAUAGAGGUGUUGGUAGGUGGAUUUUUGUUACGUUUGGACAGAGCCCUGUUUCCAGUCUUUGUGCUAAGCUAAGCUAACUGCUUCUGGUUCCAGCUCCAAAAUUUACUGAACAGACAUGAUCAAUAUUCUGAUCCAUCUCUCGGCAAGAAAGCAGAUAAAACCCUAAAAGUUCAAAC